GUCACUGAAUUUUUACUUUUACUUAUUUACAACCAUUUUUCUUUAUUCGUUAUCAUUUUCGUCUACCAUAUUCUUCUAUGAUUUAUUUUUUUUAUACUUGGAAUUUCCGUCAAACAUAUUCUUCUCCGUGCAAAGCACGGAUCUUUUCCUAGUUGGAAUUAAAGUUUGAAGAUUGGAAUUUAUUUUGUUAUAUAUAAGCAAAGGAGGGGUUGUUUUAUUUAAAACACACCAAAGUUUUGGGGGAAAGGACUUAUUUUGAAUAAACGGUUCAGCAGGGGUUUAAUGUGUUCAGUUUAUAAAAUCAAAUGAUUUUAGGGCUUUUUCUGCCCCUUGCCCUUUGUUGAUCGGGCAAAGGAAAAGAAUGAACGAAGCGAUGAGGGUAAAUACGACGAACACGAAGGCAGUCACGAGGGGAAAACACGGAGGCAAAACAAAUCGGGAGCAAAAAUCGUUUGGGGGGUUCGAUCCUCGUCUGAUCAGGGAAAAGAAUCACGAAUGGAAGCUAUGCGAGGCGAGGAUUUCGAUCGAGAAAUGAAGGACACGCGAAUGGGGAGCAGCGACAGGAAGGUUUCGGUGGCGAGUAGUCGAUCGUGAGGAGGGAACGUCUCUGGGGUCGACGAGGCCGAAGAAAUGAAUGGAGAAACAGCGAGGCUACUUUUGUUCUCCUCUGGCUUUGAGGUGCGAAGGAAGGAGGGGUCCGACGAGAUUCCGGGAGGGGAUAGGCAGCAGCGACGACGCGGGUGGGCUUCGGAGGGGUUUUCUCGAGGGAAGAAGAAGAGAAAGAUGCGAGGGCAGAUGGUUCGGCGAUUGGAGGUCAAUCGCAUGAAAGAAGAAGAAGGAAGCAAGAAAUGUGAUGAGGCUGCUUCUUCUUGAAAGGAAAAAAGAAAAGAAUGAGAGGCUGAUACCUCUUCGCUAUUCACCAGAAAACAGAACCACCUCCGGUGGUUCUAGGCUGCCACGAAGAAGAAGAAGAAAGAAGGGAGAUGAGGUGAAGCUUUGAAGGAUUGGAGGCAGCAUUAAGACUUGAAUGCUCAAUGGAAGGAAACGGCAGCAACAACACGUCUUGGUGUUCGUAUAAUGCAGGAGGGUACUUUGAAUGACAUUUUAGUGAGACUUGUAGACUUUCUUUUUGUUAGAUGAACACUUUAUGAGUUGUACAAUUGAUUGGUAAAGUGUGUAAGUCUCACUUUGUUUGGCUGUCAAUUUAAGAAGCGUAUUUGAUUUCAA